rfam:Anolis carolinensis unplaced genomic scaffold chrTn0274, whole genome shotgun sequence.
GCCCGGGUAGCUCAGUCGGUAGAGCAUCAGACUUUUAAUCUGAGGGUCCAGGGUUCAUAGUCCCUGCUCGGGCA